rnacentral:misc_RNA from 1 species
ACGACAGAAGAACUACAUUCUUUGCGUACUUAUGAAUGCACAUGUUGCUCGGGAAAGUGAUAAUUUUUCGAAAGACGCGUUCUAAUAAUAGGUACACCGCCGGUCGCGUGUGCAGUUGGGAUUUAAACAUAGUUUUGGCAGCACAAAACGUCAAACCGCCUCUGACCGAGGAGGCGCGAGGUCGCCGUGUGAUUCCCUUGCUCGCUUACCUCCCGGAUAAAAACAUCCGCGUUGCCGUUUUAUUGGCUUAUCGUACUCGACGUAAUCGAAGCACGGAAUAGAUAGAAAGUCAAAAUAAUGACGAUAAUAAUGGCACUGCGAUACGUAUGCACUUCCGUAUCAUCGGUACUCUUUUAACGUCGCAUUUACCCACAACAAGCAAAUUCUUUUUAAUUCAAUCGACUACUUCCAGAUUUUUUACUGUGAUCGGUUAGCAGUACCAUUAGAAUCACCAACCGUACGUCUCUUGUCUUCUUUUAUGCCACCGGACUGUUUGCCUUUCGCAAGGUGGUUCUCCCGAAUGUAUUCUUAGACGAUGUAUAAACUAGAUCGUUGAGAAAUGCGAACUUUCCGUGAAAGAAGUCAGUCCGACUAGCCACUUUAUUGUCUGUUCGACGUAUUCCUGUCUGUUGAACAAUUGGCCGAUACGCGUCAAGAUAAGUUCAUCGUACUCGGUCAACGAUAUUUUACAAGUACGUGAAAUUGCUCGAAAAUAUUGCGGUUUAGUUGAGUGACUCGGAUGUGAAAUGAAGGAAACUUGCGACAAAGGGCCUGCGGAGAUUAAAGAAAAUCAACAGCCCAUGGAGUUCGUGGAGUUUCCCGAAGACGCCGAAGAACCCGAAGAUGACACGAUGACAGCCAGCAACAAGACGAUGGACGAAGCUGUAAACGAUGCGCUUAUAGAAAAAUUAAGAAUUUGUGCGUUCAAGCCGCAGGAAAGUACGGAAACUGUUCGAUCGGUGGCUGCCAAGUUACACGCGCAACUCACAUCUUCGGAGCGCCGUACCAGAGAACGAACCUUGGAAAAACUGUGGCGAAAAAAUUCCAACACAAUCGAGAUACUUGUCAAGAUUUUGGAGAGCUGCAAGGACAACGUGGCAAACUGCAGCGUCGCUGGUAUUCUCCACGAAUGUAUAUCCCCGAAAAUCGGAAAGGCCAAGUCGAGCGGGUCGAAGAAUCGUAGUGCAAUAAGGAAUAACAGCAGGUUGGCUAUUUCCCAGCUGAUAAACUUGGGUGGUACCCAAGUUCUGAUACGCUUACUGAACGCCCUGCAACACAGAGAGACGAUAAUGACCGAGGUUCUCGUACAGGAGCUUCUGCGGAUACUGGGACAGGUUGCUCAAAAAGAUCAAAAAUUCUCGACAAAAGUGAAGAUGCUCAAUUCGACGAAAAUGUUUCACUCGUUGUUGAAAGUAAACUACAACAACAGCCGAAAUCUGUUCCCUUUAUUACUGAUGAUCAAAAGUCUGGCUAAGAACUCAUUUUCCCUUCAGAUAUUGGUGAAAGAUGGGAUCGUCCCUACUUUGGAGAAAACGUUUGUCUGCGUCGGCUACUCUCCUCAUUUAAAACUGAGAACAUUGCUAGAGUGUUUCAAAUAUUUUACGGUCAGCAAACUCUGCUGUACAAAGUUCGUCAAGAUAGGUUUGGUCCACCUUUUAAUGCGGCUCUUCGACAGGUGGGAGAGGUUCGAUGGGCCAAUUCGGCUGAAAAUUUCCAACUACUGUCUGAACACACUGCAGCAUCUCUGCGUAAUAAAGUCGGGGAGGAAGGCAAUAAAGUCAAACGGUGGGCUACAACUUCUUUAUAGCUUCUGCACAAAUUGUCCCGAAGAGAAAUCUUACGAUUGCCUAUUGUCACGCGUUUGUGGCAUAAUAAAUCAGUGCCUCGAGAAGAAGGAACUACCGGUGCCUGAAAUGUCACCUGUCAGAUUCAUUUUACCAGAAAUAACUGCGAGGCUGACAAACAGUACGGAAAGCGGAAGCGAUGCUGACAGUCAGGUUAACAGCGUGGCGUCUCUUGGGAGGGUAUACAGCGACGUGGACUCGUGUGACGAUGAGGAAAGUGAUAACUCUCCACAAACCAAACAGAGUACCCUUCAUACCGGCAAUGAUAUCGAUGAAAAUAAAUUCUUCUCCGGGGUCGUAAAUUUCCAAAGAACGGAGGAAGAUCUUCUUGCGUACAACUGUUUCUUUCGAGAACUUGGCACUCUUCAAAAUCAAUUAUCCACAAGAAACAAACUGGAUAAAUCUAAAGCGACGUGCGUCGACGGUUUUGCCAAAGUUAGCAAGACCGGUGCCAAUGUCCAGGGUCACGCCAGUGGCAAAGGUUUGCGAACAUUUGCAGACUUGUCGUCGCAUAUGACAGACCAACACGCCUACUGCGUGGUAGCCAGCACGGUAAAGAGCGUGAUAAGCUUUGUCAAAGUUGCCUAUCCAGAUUUAGUCGGAGGCGAGGGUCUUGGCAAAGCGGCCCCGCUUAACAACAAGGAUCGCAAGGUGUGUAGAUCGAAACUGCUGACGUGCGUCGAUCGGGGACUUCAUCCGGCGGCAUUGAUGCAAGAAACAGCCUACGAUCUCGAUCAAUUGGCUGCGAACUUCUCGUCGCAAGAGGACCGGGGAUCGUCUCAGCGUCUCCUCUGUAACUGGGAUGAGAAAAUAAUCGGGAAGCGGAGCAGCGACUCGAAGCGGUUGCAGUUCGAGUCGCGGUUCGAAAGCGGAAAUCUGAGAAAAGCUGUGCAGAUAAGCCCUCGCGAAUACGACCUCAUAUUGACACCGGAUGUGAACAGCGGGUCAAGGCAUCAGUGGUUUUAUUUCGAGGUUUCGAACAUGGAGGGAAACUCUCCGUACACCUUCAAUAUAAUAAAUUGCGAGAAAGCUAAUUCGCAGUUCAAUUUUGGAAUGAAGCCAAUACUGUUCAGUGUGAGAGAAGCGCAACUUGGGAGGCCCGGGUGGGUAAGAACCGGUUCCGAUAUUUGCUACUACAGGAAUUGCUAUCAGAGGCCUACCAAGGAGAAGAACUACUUGACGACGUCCUUCACCGUCACCUUCCCCCACGCCUACGACGUUUGCUACCUGGCUUACCAUUUUCCUUACACCUACAGCCAGAUGAUGGCCAACAUUUGGAAGUGGUCGAAGAACCUCUCGCCGUCGGGUAUUUAUUUUCGCGCGGAGCCACUCUGUAAUACCCUGAACGAUAACGAGAAUCCCGUGUUAACCAUCACCGCACCGGAGUCGAAGAGUAAUCCCAUACAGAACCGGAAAAUCAUAUUCCUCACGUCGAGAGUGCAUCCGGGUGAGAGCAACGCCUCGUGGGUGAUGCACGGUACCCUCGUAGCGCUUUUGGCCAGCUCAACUUACGCUAGCAGCUUGAGGGAUGAUUACGUGUUUAAAGUUGUUCCGAUGUUGAAUAGCGAAGGUGUUAUCAACGGUUGGUAAGUCUGCAACCAACUUCAGCCAAUCGACGCAGAUGUUUCGAACACUUGCUUCGGUUCUUUUUUGCGCAAUCGUUACGGCUUGACAACCGAAGACUUGAACAGACGAUGGAGCAAUCCAAACAAAAUUCUACACCCUGUCAUAUUCCACACCAAAGGUCUGAUGGAAUACUGCACCAGAGUCCUUCAGAAACCACCC